GAUGAACGCUGGCGGCGUGCCUAAUACAUGCAAGUCGAGCGAACGGACGAGAAGCUUGCUUCUCUGAUGUUAGCGGCGGACGGGUGAGUAACACGUGGAUAACCUACCUAUAAGACUGGGAUAACUUCGGGAAACCGUAGCUAAUACCGGAUAAUAUUUUGAACCGCAUGGUUCAAAAGUGAAAGACGGUCUUGCUGUCACUUAUAGAUGGAUCCGCGCUGCAUUAGCUAGUUGGUAAGGUAACGGCUUACCAAGGCAACGAUGCAUAGCCGACCUGAGAGGGUGAUCGGCCACACUGGAAGGGAGACACGGUCCAGACUCCUACGGGAGGCAGCAGUAGGGAAUCUUCCGCAAUGGGCGAAAGCCUGACGGAGCAACGCCGCGUGAGCGAUGAAGGUCUUCGGAUCGUAAAACUCUGUUAUUAGGGAAGAACAUAUGUGUAAGUAACUGUGCACAUCUUGACGGUACCUAAUCAGAAAGCCACGGCUAACUACGUG
rnacentral:rRNA from 1 species